UGUUACGUUUUUAAAGCAUUUUAUGCGACAGGUGUGUGUAGCACUUGUUACACAUCUCAAUGGGAGAGCCAUAGUCGAGACCACACCUUUACCUGACGUACAACGUGACGUAUGGCGCACGCUUUCAAAACAACAAUGGCGGAUAGAAGAUAAUGCUCCUUUCGCUGGUUGCCAACCACCAUUAAAUAACAACAAGAAGAAAAUAUUGAUCUGCUUUUCUUAGUUGUGCACGUUUAAGACGCGAUUCAGACUCAAACAAAGCUGCAAAGCAGGAGAACAACAUGACCAUCAAUUAUUCUGUGCCACAGAUCCAGUUCGCUGCAGCACAGAUGAUGAGAUGGUGGAAGAACAAAAGAGACAAUUUACGGACCGUUAAGAUGUGCAACUUAGAAGCAGUCAGAGACUGACUGACAUGGGAAACAUUAAAGUUGAACUGGAACCAGCUAAUCAGUCUGAAGGAAUCACAGAACCAGAAGGGAGACCACUGAGGAGGAGUUCUGUAAGUUCACUGGUGACCUCAGCUGUCAAGUUCCUGGAUGUGGGGAUGGAAAUUGAAGAGGAACUCACAAGCCUCCUGCCGACACUAGACAGAGAGAAAAUAAUCUGCAUUGUACAACAUCUGACGGACGUUAUUGGUGUACAACAAAAAAGUGAUCUUUUGUUUGUGGAGGCGGAAGAUCUCAAACCCUUUCUCACACCAAUUCAAAUACGUAAACUACUUCUUGCAUUUAAAGGAGGUUUGUGUAGGUUCUGUACAACUCAUAGACUUGAGUCUAUGAUUUGAAGGUCACUCAUAGACUCAUAUGACACUGAUUAGCUUGAUUAGCUUUUUUUUUUUUUUUUUUUUUUCUUCACCAUACUACACAUGUACUUUGACAGUAUAAUAUUGAAGAGCGUUUUGGGGCUCACAUUGUCUGGUAGAUGAUUAACACGGAAAACAUAAACAAAAGUAGACACUAAAUCUAACACCAUUAACCUUUCAUUGGUAGUGGUACAACUGCUGCAAAUGUUUCAGUAAAACAUUUACAGAUUUUACUGAAAAGGGAGAAGGACUGGGUUGUGGACAUUAUUCACUACUAAGAAGCAUCAAAUCUAGAGUUGGACAUGUUAAUCGAGAUAAUACAACUCAUAGACUUUGUCAACCAAAGAGAACCAGGAAUGAGGAAGACUGCAGUCCCAACAGUAGUGCAACCCCACCUAAAAAAGUUAGAUGCCUUGUUGAUAGCUAUGGUUGUAUUAAUUGGCAGCCAGUUGAACUUCCUGAGGGGGAAACGCCAGCUUCUUUAGAGGAAAAGAAACACAUCUUGUUAACAAUUUUUUAAUUCAGAAGGACCUGGAGCUGUGGAGAGACCUGAUGUGAAUGACUUCAUGACUCACAUAUAUUUCUCAGCGACAGCUUAUCAACAGUUGUCCCUCACUUUCAGUAGCUGAAAUUCAGGAGCAGUGGCCAUUCUUGUUUACUCGGAAAGGUCUUUCAAACCACUUUCACAAACUCACAGGCAUCGAUAUCAGUGAGCGCUUAGGUCAGGCCCUCAUAACCAAAGGCAGAAGGAUUAUUAACUAUUUCUCCAGCCAGAAGCUCAAAUGGAACCUUGGUAUAAGGACACUCAUCCAGCAGAUAGAAAGUGAGGAAGUUUUGACCAACAACAAGGUUGGCACAGCGGCCAUACUUCUCAUGAUGAAGUACUACAAGGAAGAUGAAGACUCCCUCUUUGUCUUAGCAGAUGUAAGCUUUUUUCAUACAGCUCUAGGUUCAAUGCUGUUGCUUGCUGUCCGGUUUUGUUUUGGUUUUUUUGGGGGGUUUUUUGUUCUUGUUUUUGUUCUUUUGAUGUUUUUUUGUUACAUAAAAUGUCUUGGUCCUUUUUCUGGCUGGAAACAUCUACCAGGAUGUCCCUUGAAGCAGAGAGCAACCUGCCAAGCACCCCAAGGCUGAUUAUGCUUGGUAAGAAGUCAUUUAUGAAAUAGAGCUGAUUAGACCAUAUUAAAAUUUCUGUUUGGCACAGGAGCUUUUCGUGGACACAGGUAUCCAGUCUCUGUUUUGUUAGCUCAAAUUUCUGUAAUUUCCUUUAUAAACCAAGGUUGUUGGACAUGUGUCUCAGUGAAUCCAGCAAAGUAACAAUAUCAAGUUUCACAUUACAUAUUACUGAUCAACAUGGUAGUCUAGCUAUACACCAACAGCAGAAAUACUGAAGUCAAUACUGUAAAGUUUAACAGCAGCACAAACUCCAAAAUAACCAUACAGUUGAUUCAUCUCCGGUAAUUUAAUUGGGCUGACUCUUUGUUAGGUGUGUUUAAUGUGCAGAAUAAUUCCCAAUUAUGUACAAUCAUAAUAUGUUAAAACGGACUUAUGUACAUAAGGCCAUUAAUAAUUAACUGUACGUCGCUAUUUGCUUUAUGACUAUCUAGACAGUGUGAAGAAGUGAAGUAUUGAAAUUAUUUUAUGUUGCAUAAUGACAACAUGUUGCCCCUAUACAUUUACGGACAAAGUUUAAUGACCGCCACCUGCUGGAUGGUGAGUGCAGAGGGGCGUGUAAUUGUUGAGCUGGACAAAGAGAACACCUUUGCUGAUGCGAUGUCAGUCCUCUUUGGUUCAUUCUAUGUAUUGAACCUGGAAUACCAGGAGUCAGCGUGUGCAACAUUGGAAAUAAUUCAGAGGUAUGUUUGAACAGUUAGCUAAUAGUGAUAGAUGAUGAAUAAAUUAUCCCUAAGUAACUCAUUAUUUCAAAUCACAACUCACUGUUACUGUAUGUUACUAUUUAUUAUGGCAUGUUUUAAGGUUUUUUGUAAGGAUAAACCCUGAAGAGGGAACAAAAUGUACCUCCAAGGUUGGGACAAGCAGAAAGACUGGGACCACUGUGAAGCGAAAGGUUGUUCACAUUAACCCUCAUGUCACAACUUUCCUCCAGUGGCUUACUGAAUUUGAGUGAAAAACUUCAAAUUAGGUAACUGUUUUUGCCAUUUAUAGUGAAUUUCUUGUAUAAUUUAAGUGACCAAUGUGUUGUUACCUGUGUCUCCACAGAUGAUCCGUGGCCCAUGCUUUCUGGACAUUUACACAAGACGAACAACAAUGAAGACAAGCUCUCUUGCCAUCUUGCAAGAUGCUGUCUCUGUCCAAUAGGUUUUUUGAGUGCAACAGUUUUGAUUUUUUUUUUCCCUUCUUUUACCCGUUUGUUAAAAUUUAUUUCAGCUACUUACACUUUAGUUGUCACAUGUAUUGGCUCACCCUACAAAUCAAUGAACUCAGUCCACAAAGCAAGAUCAGGGUUCAGUGCAGGUCAGUCAAGUUCCUUCACACCACACACGCUCAUCCAUGUCCUUGUGGACCCUGCUUUGUACAUUGAUUAGGUGGUGUGAGCCAGUAUUUUGGAUAAAGUGUUUAUAAAGGCAGAAGUGUGGGGCUUGAUAUUAUAUUCAUUACAAUUCAGUUUAUUUGUAUGGUGCCAACAAAAUGAAUGCCAAGGCACUUCACAUUGUAGGUUUAAGACCCUACAAAAUAUAACUAAGAAAACCCAACACUUGAGCAUAUAUUGUCUGCCAUGAUAUGGAUAUGACAUAAUAUUGUUAUUGUUUGUACAACCAUCUGAGAAAAUAAUGGAUUACAUGGUUUAGUAAAAACAAAUGCUUCCUCAAUGAAAAUAUGUUUUCAGUUCUUUUCAGUUUUUGAUUUUGGAAAUGUGUAUUUCAGCAAGGAAAAAUCAGAACACAAAUAAAAAAGUGGUGUGA